AACGAACGCUGGCGGCAUGCCUAACACAUGCAAGUCGAACGAGACCUUCGGGUCUAGUGGCGUACGGGUGCGUAACGCGUGGGAACCUGCCCUUAGGUUCGGAAUAACUCUCCGACAGGGGUGCUAAUACCGGAUAAUGUCUUCGGACCAAAGAUUUAUCGCCUUUGGAUGGGCCCGCGUUGGAUUAGCUAGUUGGUAGGGUAAAAGACUACCAAGGCGACGAUCAAUAGCUGGUCUGAGAGAAUGAUCAGCAACACCUGGACUGAGACACGGCCCAGACUCCUACGGGAGGCAGCAGUGGGGAAUAUUGGACAAUGGGCGAAAGCCUGAUCCAGCAAUGCCGCGUGAGUGAUGAAGGCCGUAGGGUUGUAAAGCUCUUGUACCCGGGAUGAUAAUGACAGUACCGGGAGAAUAAGCUCCGGCUAACUCCGUG
rnacentral:rRNA from 1 species